rnacentral:rRNA from 1 species
AACGAACGCUGGCGGCGCGCCUAAUACAUGCAAGUCGAGCGAGAAGACGUAGCAAUACGUUUGUAAAGCGGCGAACGGGUGAGGAAUACAUGGGUAACCUACCCUCGAGUGGGGAAUAACUAGCCGAAAGGUUAGCUAAUACCGCGUACGCUCCUUGGACUUCGGUUCAGGGAGGAAAGCGAUACCGUGGGUAUCGCGCUCUUGGAUGGGCUCAUGUCCUAUCAGCUUGUUGGUGAGGUAACGGCUCACCAAGGCUUCGACGGGUAGCUGGUCUGAGAGGACGAUCAGCCACACUGGCACUGCGACACGGGCCAGACUCCUACGGGAGGCAGCAGUAAGGAAUAUUGCGCAAUGGGCGAAAGCCUGACGCAGCGACGCCGCGUGGGGGAUGAAGGUCUUCGGAUUGUAAACCCCUUUCGGGAGGGAAGAUGGAACGAGCAAUCGUUCGGACGGUACCUCCAGAAGCAGCCACGGCUAACUUCGUGCCAGCCGCCGCUGUAAC